UUCUCUCUCCCCAAUGCCACUACCUCUCUAGGGUAUGGAUUACAGCCGUUGGUGGUCCGAACCCCAGGCGCCACCGCCGCAUCACCACCCCGAGUCCCACCUCUCCAGCGCACCGCCACCGCAGCACGACCUUCCCCGCCCCGUCGCUGACUCCUCCUACCACUAUCUCUAUCCUAAUCCUCACCCCAACCCUUACCCUCCUAGCGAUCCUGCGACCCCAGUCAGACCUGACGCCCAUCCCAGUCACCACCGGGGCCCCGCCGAUCCCUAUGUCAGUCGCCUCUACGUAACCCGUGGUGUGCACGACGGCCUUCACCCGGCGCCCUACCCUUAUCCUGGACAAGAGCCCGGCCACCGCACGUUCCCCGCAGAUCCCUAUGUCGGUGGCCACUACGCUCCCCGUGGUGGGCACGAGGGCCUUCACCCGGCAUCCUACUCAUAUCGCGGAGGAGAAGGUCCGGCGGGGGUUACCGAGGUGUCGUUGUACGUCCACGGUCGUCGUGGUAGCGAACAACACGGGUGGGGGCGAUUCAUCCGUUUCCUGGCGCUAAUCCACUCAGUCAUAGCGCUGGUCAAUCACAGAUUUCUACGGAAUUUGAAGCUAUGGAGAAUAUGAUUGAUCUCAAUUCUCAUUUUCCUCAGCUCCUGUUUAAUUGAUGGCUUAUUGUCCACUAAAGCAUGCAGUUCCUCAACACAAGGAAUGCUCAUCAAGAAAAUAAUUGCUGUCAAUUUCAACCUUUAAGGGAAUGCAAUUCAUGGGUCGAAUCGUGCUUUCCUGUCCUUUAGAGUCGCAUUUUGACUGCGUAAAGUAAGUCUGUCCAUGAUCAAGUGGUUCGUCUUCGGCAUCAUUGAAUUGGAUGACGUGGACUUGGGCCCAGCCCAGUUACGACCUUUACAUCGAGACGCCGACACAGGUUAAACCGGUACCGAACUCAGUUGUCGCAGUCCGAUAUAAAACGCGGAUCUGGACAAAACCACCGCCCUGGUGCCUUGCCCAGGGCACGAGCACUAAUCGACGGCGAUUACGUCUCUUAUAUUUUGAUCUGACGGUCAAUAUCAAACCUGGCAUCGAAUCCGCCUCCCUAUUUAAACCCUUCGUCGGCCAUCCCACACCCCCAAACCCCCCACCCCCCCACCCGAGAUCUCCCUCUUCUCUCCUUGCUUGCCUCGCCGCCGUCCUCAUCGAAGCGGCGGCGACGAUGCAACCGGUGGCUGGAGUGGAUCCGCGGCGCACCCCGUCGCCCCAGCCUUGGGCGGCGGUGCGGUACCCGGCACCGGCGAUGGUGAUGCAGCACCCUAUGAUGGCGCCACCGCCGCCGCCACCGUCAUACGGGCAUCCCUUCGUUCCCUACCCCCAUCCCCCGACGUCUCCGCCUCAGCCGCCGUCGAUAUCGAACCGCCACCAGCAGGGCGAGGAGGCGGCGGCGGAGGACGAGAAGCGGACGAUCUGGGUGGGGGACCUCCAGUACUGGAUGGACGAAAACUACCUCCUCGGCUGCUUCGUCCAUGCCGGUGAGGUUGUCUCCAUAAAGGUUAUUCGCAAUGAGCAGACUGGACAAUCAGAGGGUUAUGGGUUUGUUGAGUUCCACUCACAUGCAACGGCUGAAAAAAUACUUCAGAGCUUCAGCGGUCAUCUGAUGCCUAACACAGAUCUGCCAUUUCGGUUAAAUUGGGCACCAUUUAGCAUGGGAAAUAAGCGUUCAGAUCUUACUUUCGAUCACUCUAUUUUUGUAGGUGAUUUAGCUUCUGAUGUUACUAAUGCAAUUUUGCAUGAAACUUUUACUACUAAGUACCCAUCAGUAAAAGGUGCAAAAGUUGUUAUUGAUGCUAAUACUGGUCGUUCAAAAGGUUAUGGGUUUGUAAGAUUUGGAGAUGAGAAUAAUAAAAAAGUUGCUAUCACCGAGAUGAAUGAUGUUUAUUGUUCUUCUAGGCCCAUGCGUAUUGGCCUUGCUACACCUAGAAAGUCUUCUGGUGGUCUUGGACCUGAUGGUGCAUCAGCAACCGGCUCCCAGUCAGAUAUAGAUUCAGCUAAGACAACAGUAUUUGUUGGAGGGCUUGAUCCAGAAGUCAGUGAAGAUGAUCUGAAAGAAGCCUUUUCAUAGUAUGGAGAAAUCACCUCUGUUAAAAUUCCAGUUGGAAAACAAUGUGGUUUUGUUCUUUUUUCCCAUAGAAAUAAUGCUGAAGAAGCAUUGCAACAGUUAAAUGGUACAAUUAUUGGCAAGCAAAUAGUGCGUCUAUCCUGGGGUCACAAUCCUGCUAGGCAGGUACUGACUUUUAGAGUUUAAGCUAAAGCAUGUCUAUUAUUUAUCUACAAAAGAAAG